CCUUGGGGCGCUGUUUGACCCUCGCCGAUUUUUGAGAUUGGAAUGUUUAUAUUUCGGAAUCAAGCUGAAUCAAGACUGUUAUAUCACUUGGAUAAAAACUGUUAAGGCGUUAAAAAUGUCACAUAUUCUAGGGCAGUAGGUGGUGACAAGGCCCUAAAUACAGGUGGUGAUAGUUGAGCAAGUGUCAAAGAGUGCUGACCGUCGCGCCGUCGGCCGUGCCCGGUGCCGCUGCCUGCUCUGCUGUGCAGUGCAGUCAGCAGCCGACUGUGGCUGACCUCGAGGCUCGUCCUCGAUCGUCUCUCUUCGACCGUCAGAGGUCGAGCGCCGAGCGGAACGUCCGAGGCCGAAGGCCCAAAGGAGUGCUGACCGUCGCGCCGCCGCCGUGCCCGGUGCCGCUGCCUGCUCUGCUGUGCAGUGCAGUCAGCAGCCGACUGUGGCUGACCUCGAGGCUCGUCCUCGAUCGUCUCUCUUCGACCGUCAGAGGUCGAGCGCCGAGCGGAACGUCCGAGGCCGAAGGCCCAAAGGGAAAGGACGAGGAUUCGAGGAACUCGCCUGAAAUGCAGGAAGGAUCAGCGUAAGGAAAGCGAAAAUAGUUGACACUUGACACUUCACCCGUCCCGUAACCGACGAUC